CGCCCGCACCGCGCGCACCGCGCUCGCGCACUGGGAGAAGGCGUGCACGUUGGCGCAGAAGUAUUCCCUGCAGGUGUCACCGGUGGAGGAGUCGCUGCUCGAGAUGCUACACCCGGACAGUGGCAUCGACGCGCACUGGGUGGAGAGCGUGUCGGCCCUCGUGCGCGAGAUGUCGUCGCUGGCGCGCGGCGCGGCGGGCGCGGCGGGCGAGCGGCGCGCGCGGGCCGGCGCCGCGCUGCGGGCCGCCGC